CAAAUUAUUGAGGUUUUUCUCACAACAGGAUGGCUGGAAGAGGAGGUGGGGAUGUGCACAACCCUGGAGCAUCUCCUUCCUAAACCCGCUGCACGAAGCCGCGCCACGCAGCACAUCCCAGCACCAGGGGCCCGGCACUGCGCAGGGCUGGGGGGCGAUGCUGCCACGGAGCCACCAGAGGUGCCAGGAGGAGAGGAAAAAGGGGAGAAAAAAAAGGGGGGAGAGGAAAGGGGGGAAAGGGGGAGAAAAUUGUAUGGAAAGGGCUCAGGGUUUGGGAUAGGGACGGGGAGAUCACUCAAUAAUUAUUGUCACGGGCAAAACAGACUCAGCAUAAGGAGAUUAAUAAAUUUUUUUGCCUAUUACUAACAAGCUAGAGCAGUGAGAAGCUAAAAGCAAAUUACAAACACCUUCCUCCUGACACCUGCUCCAGCACGGGUCCCCCACGGGUCCCCAGACCCCCCGCUCCUGUGGGGGCUCUCCAUGGGCCGCAGCCUCCUCCAGGCCACAUCCACCUGCUCCACCGGGGGCUCCUCCACCCACGGGGGGGCUACAGCGUGGAGAUCUGCUCCGUGUGGCACCCAUGGGUGCAGGGGGACAGCCUGCUCCACCAGGGGCCUCUCCACAGCCCACAGGGGAUUUGCAGACCCGGGAGGUGUAGGGGUGUACAGACCCCCAUUUUGGGGUCAAAACCUCAUCCUGGGGGGCUGGCCUGGAGAGGAACGUCCCCCCAGCCCCUCGCUGGUGCCCUCCUGGCAGUGGGUGGCCACUCCUGAGCUGGCCAGCAGCAGGGGCCAAGGUCCAGGCGGGGAGCAGGGGGCAGCCGAGCCGUGCCCCGCGCAGCGCCAUGAGGCUGCGGCUGCUCUGUGCCCUCGCCGUGGCCCUCCUGGCCGUGGCCGGGGCCAACCCACGGGACUCCAAGAAGGGGAAAACGCUCACACGGGACCGGGAGGCGGGGACGCGCGGCAGGGGCCAGCGCCGGCCGUGCUCGGGGUGCUUCUCUGUGCUGAGCGAGGUGAGCGGGGACCGGGGGGGCUGGGGGGACGGGAUGGGGAUGGGGAUGGGGAUGGGGAUGGGGAUGGGGAUGGGGAUGGGGAUGG
rnacentral:lncRNA from 1 species